GUCGAGAAUCUUCCGCAAUGCGCGAAAGCGUGACGGAGCGACACCGCGUGAUGGAUGAAGUCCUUCGGGGCGUAAACAUCUUUUAUAAAGGAGGAAAUUUUUGACGUUACUUUAUGAAUAAGGGGCUCCCAAUCUCGUGCCAGCCGGAGCGGUAAUACGAGAGCCUUAAGCGUUAUCCGGAAUCAUUGGGCGUAAAGGGUGCGUAGGUGGUUUGAUUAGUCUCCCGUUAAAACUUCGAGCUUAACUCGAAAAGAGCGGGGGAAACGGUCAAACUAGAGUAUGUGAGAGGUGUGUGGAACUCAUGGUGUAGGGGUGUAAUCCGUUGAUAUCAUGGGGAACACCAAAAGCGAAGGCAGCACACUGGCACAUCUCUGACACUGAGGCACGAAACCUAAGGUAGCGAAUGGGAUUAGAAACCCUGGUAGUCC
rnacentral:rRNA from 1 species